GCCUCUGUAGUCUAAAGGCUUAGGACUCUCACACGGAAUAUCAGAGAUCCGGGUUCGAUUCCCGGCUGAGGUG
rnacentral:tRNA from 1 species